rnacentral:lncRNA from 1 species
GUCCGCCGGCGCCCCCUGGGAUUGGGGAGAGAGGGAAGGGCUGAGGCUCACGGUUUCGGAGUAAGGGGAGCGGCCCGGCGAGCCGCCGCGCCUGGGUUAAGAGCUGCAGGAGGAACGUGGCUUCACGAGUUCGGCUCCUCGGCCAUCCACAGCCCGGGCCUCCGCCUCUGCUGACCUGGCGGCUGUAGAAGGCAGAAGAGGCCUGAAACCUGCAGCAGGAGCACCACCCUGCCCCGCGGCCCCGCGCGCCCUCCAGUGGCGUCAUCCCAUCCGCUUUGAUCUCGACUGGCGCGCCUACCCUCGGCAGCGGCACCCCUUGGGAGCGCAAUCGCGGGCAGACUCCGAGGACCCAUCUUGCGAAAGUUCUGCGAGGUCCUGACUUUAAGGGAACAGGGGUCGUACUUGGGCCAUGGCCGGAAGGGAGAUCCAACAUCCAUGACGACGUCUACCCCCCAGCCUGCCCCUUCAGAGCCCAGUCUGUGCCUUGCGUCAAAGUCAAGCAAGGGCUCUUGUAGGGCACCGAGCCCCAGCCAAAAUCACCCUUUUCUUUCAGAUAGCCCCCACUUACCCCCAGAAACCUUACUCUCUCCCUCGGGAGCAGGUGGGAAGUGAAAGGCCGGGGGGGCUGUUUCUGCUCUGCUUGUCUGUACCUGUGGCCCUUGAGUGGAAAACCCCGCCGCUGGACCAAAGACCUGGAGGCUCCAGGAUUGCCCACUUGGGACCCUGACUAUGA